CCUACGGGGGGCAGCAGUGAGGAAUAUUGGUCAAUGGACGAGAGUCUGAACCAGCCAAGUAGCGUGAAGGAUGACUGCCCUAUGGGUUGUAAACUUCUUUUAUAUGGGAAUAAAAUGUUCCACGUGUGGGAUUUUGUAUGUACCAUAUGAAUAAGGAUCGGCUAACUCCGUGCCAGCAGCCGCGGUAAUACGGAGGAUCCGAGCGUUAUCCGGAUUUAUUGGGUUUAAAGGGGGCGUAGGUGGAUUGUUAAGUCAGUUGUGAAAGUUUGCGGCUCAACCGUAAAAUUGCAGUUGAAAAUGGCAGUCUUGAGAACAGUAGAGGUGGGCGGAAUUCGUGGUGUAGCGGUGAAAUGCUUAGAUAUCACGAAGAACUCCGAUUGCGAAGGCAGUUCACUGGACUGCAACUGACACUGAGGCUCGAAAGUGUGGGUAUCAAACAGGAUUAGAUACCCUUGUAGUC
rnacentral:rRNA from 1 species